rnacentral:misc_RNA from 1 species
UUGGUUCGUGUCGUUACGUAACGUCGAAAAGGACGAAAAUUCGACAUCGCGUAUAUCGAGACCAAUUUGAUUGAUGGAUGUAGUUCUGCUGUACGCCAUAAAAAGCUCGUCGAAACAUAAAUGUUGCCCACGUUGACGUCUAACGGAUAAACAUUUUUUUAUUCACAAAAUCCCAAAACAGUUUUUCACAAAAAAAUUGAGUUAUUUUUUUUAUAUUUCAAUCAUGGUGAUUGGUUUAUUGAGAAAAUUGUGCGUGUUGUGUCGCUACGAUGUGGCGGCAGAAGUGAUUGUGAAUUCUAAGGAUUUUCAUUUGAGAUUCUAAUUAAAAUAUUUGUCACGUCGUUUCCUAAUUGGGGAAGCAAAAUGCGACAGAAAACGGACCAUCAAAGCAUACUUUUUGCGUUCCUUUUAUACUACGUAUACGAGAACAACUUAAUCAUAUCUGAAGCUUCUCUCGUCGGCGUUUCGGACAAGGGUAGUACAAAACCAACCCCUGAGCGACCCUAUUUCGACGAUAUCGGACCGAGAAACGUUACAGCCGUAGUAGGUCAGUCAACUCUUCUUAGUUGCAGAGUCAAACAUCCUGGGGAUAGAACAGUAUCUUGGAUGCGCAAAAGAGAUUUACACAUCCUAACAUCUGGGAUUCACACUUACACGGGAGAUGGUAGAUUUAGCGUGCGCCAUCCUGAACACAGCGACGACUGGGACUUGCGCAUCGAGUACGUUCAAAAGCGAGACGCCGGUGUCUACGAGUGUCAAGUGAACACCGAGCCGAAGAUUAACAUGGCGAUACUGCUGAACGUCGAGGACGCAUCCCAGAAGUACCGCGACGCCCAAGCGACCAUAUCCGGUCCGGUUGAAGUGUUCGUGAUGAAGGGAAGCACGAUUUCACUGACUUGUUCGGUGAACGUGCAUUCGACUCCUCCAUCUUCCAUUCAAUGGCUUCAUGGACCUAAUAUGGUCGAUUUCGAUUCGACAAGGGGAGGUAUCAGCUUGGAAACGGAAAAAACGGAAUCAGGAACUACGAGCAAAUUAUUAGUAACUAAGGCUUUGUUAACUGAUUCCGGUAACUACACUUGUAUGCCGUCCAAUGCUAGUCCUGCAUCUGCUAUAGUUCAUGUUUUAAACGGAGAACACCCAGCGGCAAUGCAGACCAGCUCAGCACUCGGUCACCAAAAAGAAGUAACCUUCUUAAUCAUCUUCCUCCUAUUAACUUUAAUAAGAUGAUCAAUUCGCUGAAAAUAAAUCUUUACAUUUACAAAAAUUCAAACAAUAUCACCUAUUUAUAAUCUGGGGAAUCUUAUUAAACGAAGCAAGAAAAAAAUCAAUCUUGACUUUAUCAAGAAUAAACGUUUAUAGCCAAAAUGGGACAUAGCGUAACCGAUGUUGUUUACUUGUGGUGCUAUUUCAACCGAACCGGUCGUGAGAGUGAAACGAAAAUUGUGUACAUAUGUAGUGUUUUACGAUAAGAAUGCGAGGAAAGUGUUAAUCGUGUUGACGGUAUAAACGACAACGUUAUUAGAUGCCAUAUAAAAUUAAUUUUUUAAUCGUUUUCUUUCCCUAUGAAUCGAAAAUUGUAUCACACAUUCGCGAUUCCGUUUUCGUACGGUUACAUUUUGUAGAGAUCUCUUCAUUGUACCUUGUAUCAUUCUGUAAAUAAACUCAUAUAAUACAAUAAUCA